rnacentral:rRNA from 1 species
CACGGAGGAUCCGAGCGUUAUCCGGAUUUAUUGGGUUUAAAGGGUGCGUAGGCGGCCGAGUAAGUCAGCGGUGAAAUUUUGCAGCUUAACUGUAACAGUGCCGUUGAUACUGCAUGGCUAGGAUUUGGUUGCUGUGGGUGGAAUGUGUGGUGUAGCGGUGAAAUGCUUAGAUAUCACACAGAAUAUCAAUUGCGAAGGCAGCUCACAAAGCCAAGAUUGACGCUGAGGCACGAAAGUGUGGGGAUCAAACA